rnacentral:rRNA from 1 species
GAUGAACGCUGGCGGCGUGCCUAAUACAUGCAAGUCGAGCGAACGGACGAGAAGCUUGCUUCUCUGAUGUUAGCGGCGGACGGGUGAGUAACACGUGGAUAACCUACCUAUAAGACUGGGAUAACUUCGGGAAACCGGAGCUAAUACCGGAUAAUAUUUUGAACCGCAUGGUUCAAAAGUGAAAGACGGUCUUGAUGUCACUUAUAGAUGGAUCCGCGCUGCAUUAGCUAGUUGGUAAGGUAACGGCUUACCAAGGCAACGAUGCAUAGCCGACCUGAGAGGGUGAUCGGCCACACUGGAACUGAGACACGGUCCAGACUCCUACGGGAGGCAGCAGUAGGGAAUCUUCCGCAAUGGGCGAAAGCCUGACGGAGCAACGCCGCGUGAGUGAUGAAGGUCCUCGGAUCGUAAAACUCUGUUAUUAGGGAAGAACAUAUGUGUAAGUAACUGUGCACAUCUUGACGGUACCUAAUCAGAAAGCCACGGCUAACUACGUG